UGUAGCGAAGUUCCUGAUGUCACACUGCCAAGAAAAGCUUCUAGUGAGAAAGUAACUGCCCGUACCGCAAACCGACACAGGUAGUUGAGGAGAGAAUCCUAAGGUGUGCGAGAGAACUCUCGUUAAGGAACUCGGCAAAAUGACCCCGUAACUUCGGGAGAAGGGGUGCUGACCGCAAGGUCAGCCGCAGUGAAUAGGCCCAAGCGACUGUUUAUCAAAAACACAGGUCUCUGCAAAAUCGAAAGAUGACGUAUAGGGGCUGACGCCUGCCCGGUGCUGGAAGGUUAAGAGGAGAGGUUAGCGCAAGCGAAGCUUUGAAUUGAAGCCCCAGUAAACGGCGGCCGUAACAAUAACGGUCCUAAGGUAGCGAAAUUCCUUGUCGGGUAAGUUCCGACCCGCACGAAAGGCGUAACGAUUUGGGCACUGUCUCAACGAGAGACUCGGUGAAAUUAUAGUACCAGUGAAGAUGCCGGUUACCCGCGACAGGACGGAAAGACCCCAUGGAGCUUUACUGCAGUUUGAUAUUGCGUGUUUGUAUCACAUGUACAGGAUAGGUAGGAGCCGAAGAUACCGGGACGCCAGUCUCGGAGGAGGCAACGGUGGGAUACUACCCUUGUGAUAUGACCACUCUAACCCGCUGCUCUUAGCGAGCAGGGAGACAGUGUCAGACGGGCAGUUUGACUGGGGCGGUCGCCUCCAAAAAUGUAACGGAGGCGCCCAAAGGUUCCCUCAGAAUGGUUGGAAAUCAUUCGUAGAGUGUAAAGGCAGAAGGGAGCUUGACUGCGAGACCUACAAGUCGAGCAGGGACGAAAGUCGGGCUUAGUGAUCCGGUGGUUCCGCAUGGAAGGGCCAUCGCUCAACGGAUAAAAGCUACCCUGGGGAUAACAGGCUUAUCUCCCCCAAGAGUUCACAUCGACGGGGAGGUUUGGCACCUCGAUGUCGGCUCAUCGCAUCCUGGGGCUGUAGUCGGUCCCAAGGGUUGGGCUGUUCGCCCAUUAAAGCGGUACGCGAGCUGGGUUCAGAACGUCGUGAGACAGUUCGGUCCCCAUCCGUCGCGGGCGUUGGAAAUUUGAGAGGAGCUGUCCUUAGUACGAGAGGACCGGGAUGGACGCACCGCUGGUGUACCAGUUGUUCUGCCAAGAGCAUCGCUGGGUAGCUAUGUGUGGACGGGAUAAACGCUGAAAGCAUCUAAGCGUGAAGCCCCCCUCAAGAUGAGAUUUCCCAUCACUUUAAGUGAGUAAGACCCCUGAGAGAUGAUCAGGUAGAUAGGUUGGGAGUGGAAGUACAGCGAUGUAUGGAGCGGACCAAUACUA
rnacentral:rRNA from 1 species